rnacentral:tRNA from 1 species
CAGGGAGACAACAAANUGUUUAAUAUUAUUAUUUUGUCACCUUAGGUCGAUCGGUAUCUCACGUUCUUAAUUUGUUAAGAAUUUCAUUUCCUAAGUUUUUCUAGGUCACACCCAUUAUUUUUCCUGGGCCAUUAGCUCAGGUGGUUAGAGCGCACCCCUGAUAAGGGUGAGGUCCCUGGUUCAAGUCCAGGAUGGCCCAUAUCUCUAUGUUGGGGGUAUAGCUCAGUUGGUAGAGCGCCUGCUUUGCAAGCAGGAUGUCAGCGGUUCGAGUCCGCUUACCUCCACUGAUUACCACCUCUUCCAUAACUGGUAGAAAGGAAAUGUUUUGAGUUGUGAUUGUAUUCUGAACGAAUCUAGCUUCCUAAUGAAAUCAUUAAGAUGCUGGACUCAUUGAAUUAAUUUCAUUGUUUUCAGAGAACCUUGACAACUGCAUAGAAUUUUUUAAAGACAAUAAGCAUCUUUAAUGAUGCAGAUUUAUUAUUUGUGCGAAUGCAUUAAUAACAAUUCUAUUAAGCUGAUGCUUCAAUUUUUGAAGUUAUU